CGGAGAGGCUGCUCCGGAAGUAAACAGCCAGGGUCGUGUCCUCUGGCUUUUUUCAGGGCUCUUUCACCUUCUCGCAGUCUUACUACCAUAAGCUCCAGAAUGUCAGACAAAGGGACAACUGGCGCUACUGAAAUUGGGACUCACACUGUGCCUUUCCAACUGACAUGCUCACUUUGCUGUGGGUGACUGUUCAUCACUUUUUCUUCUCAAAAGGUGUGUGUGUUGUACAAAGUUUCCCUAGAAACAGUAAUGCAACUUAAAAGAUUGAUGUUAGAAUGAGAGUUU